rnacentral:ncRNA from 1 species
UAUAUGUUUUAUUCUGGUUAAAUAAUUUACUUUAAUAAUAUUUUACAUGUAAAUUUAUGUGAGAAAUUUUUUAAUUCUUAAAGAAUUAUUUUUUAUAUUUUAUUCGCAGUAAUCGGUAUUGUUUAUAAAAGAAAUUUUGAAAUAGUAAUUUUUAUAAGUAUUGGUAAAAUUUGUGCCAGCUACCGCGGUUAUACAAAUAAUGCAAGUAAAUAUUAUUAUUAAUAGUUAAAAUAGCAUAAUUAAAAAUAAUUUAAUAAUUUUUAGGUGAAAUUUUAAAUUAUUAUUUAUUUUUAUGAAAAAAUUUUUUGAAGCUAAAAAUUUUUAAAUUAAAACUAGGAUUAGAUACCCUAUUAUUUAAAUAAUAAAUUUCGGUCGCAUUAGAGUACUAUUAGUUAUAUUCUUGAAACUUAAAGAAUUUGGCGGUGUUUUAGUCUAUUCAGAGGAAUCUGUUCUGUAAUCGAUAGUCCACGUUUUACCUUACUUAGUUUUGUUUUCAAUUUGUAUAUCGCCGUCAUCAGAAUAUCUUAGGAGAGAAAAUAAUUUUCUAACCUUUUAACUAUAAAUGAUGUCAGGUCAAGGUGCAGUUUAUGAUUAAGUAGAAAUGGAUUACAAUAAUAUUUAGUUAAAUGAAUUUUUUUAUGAAAUUAAAGAUUGAAGGUGGAUUUGAUAGUAAAUUUAUUAAACAAUUUAAAUUAAUUGAUUUUAGCUCUAAAACAUGCACACAUCGCCCGUCGCUCUCAUUAUUUAAUUAAAAUGAGAUAAGUCGUAACAUAGUAGAUGUACUGGAAGGUGCCUCUAGAAUGAC